UACGUAGGCAGCAAGCGUUGUUCGGAUUCAUUGGGCGUAAAGGGUGCGUAGGCGGCGGGGCAAGUCUGAUGUGAAAUCCCGGGGCUCAACCCCGGAACUGCAUUGGAUACUGCCUUGCUAGAGUACUGGAGAGGGAACUGGAAUUUACGGUGUAGCAGUGAAAUGCGUAGAGAUCGUAAGGAAGGCCAGUGGCGAAGGCGAGUUCCUGGACAGUUACUGACGCUGAGGCACGAAGGCCAGGGGAGCAAACGGG
rnacentral:rRNA from 1 species